UGCAGCUCGAACGAUGAAAUCACUUCGGUGGUGGAUUAGUGGCGAACGGGUGAGUAACACGUGGGCAAUCUGCCCUUCACUCUGGGACAAGCCCUGGAAACGGGGUCUAAUACCGGAUACCACUUCGUCCCGCAUGGGACGGGGUUGAAAGCUCCGGCGGUGAAGGAUGAGCCCGCGGCCUAUCAGCUUGUUGGUGGGGUAAUGGCCUACCAAGGCGACGACGGGUAGCCGGCCUGAGAGGGCGACCGGCCACACUGGGACUGAGACACGGCCCAGACUCCUACGGGAGGCAGCAGUGGGGAAUAUUGCACAAUGGGCGAAAGCCUGAUGCAGCGACGCCGCGUGAGGGAUGACGGCCUUCGGGUUGUAAACCUCUUUCAGCAGGGAAGAAGCGCAAGUGACGGUACCUGCAGAAGAAGCGCCGGCUAACUACGUGCCAGCAGCCGCGGUAAUACGUAGGGCGCAAGCGUUGUCCGGAAUUAUUGGGCGUAAAGAGCUCGUAGGCGGCUUGUCACGUCGGAUGUGAAAGCCCGGGGCUUAACCCCGGGUCUGCAUUCGAUACGGGCUAGCUAGAGUGUGGUAGGGGAGAUCGGAAUUCCUGGUGUAGCGGUGAAAUGCGCAGAUAUCAGGAGGAACACCGGUGGCGAAGGCGGAUCUCUGGGCCAUUACUGACGCUGAGGAGCGAAAGCGUGGGGAGCGA
rnacentral:rRNA from 2 species